rnacentral:rRNA from 1 species
CGCCAGACUCCUACGGGAGGCAGCAGUGAGGAAUAUUGGUCAAUGGGCGGGAGCCUGAACCAGCCAAGUCGCGUGAGGGAAGACGGUCCUAUGGAUUGUAAACCUCUUUAGGCGGGGAGCAAUGCCGGGCACGUGUGCCCGGAGGGAGAGUACCCGCAGAAUAAGCAUCGGCUAACUACGUGCCAGCAGCCGCGGUAAUACGUAGGGGGCAAGCGUUAUCCGGAUUUACUGGGUGUAAAGGGAGCGUAGGGGGUUAGAUAAGUCUGAUGUGAAAGCCCACAGCUUAACUGUGGGAUUGCAUUGGAAACUAUAGAACUAGAGUGUCGGAGAGGUAAGUGGAACUCCUAGUGUAGCGGUGAAAUGCGUAGAUAUUAGGAGGAACACCAGUGGCGAAGGCGGCUUACUGGACGGUGACUGACGCUGAGGCUCGAAAGCGUGGGGAGCAAACAGGAUUAGAUACCCCUGUAGC